rnacentral:rRNA from 1 species
GACGAACGCUGGCGGCGUGCUUAACACAUGCAAGUCGAACGGAAAGGCCCUGCUUUUGUGGGGUGCUCGAGUGGCGAACGGGUGAGUAACACGUGAGUAACCUGCCCUUGACUUUGGGAUAACUUCAGGAAACUGGGGCUAAUACCGGAUAGGAGCUCCUGCUGCAUGGUGGGGGUUGGAAAGUUUCGGCGGUUGGGGAUGGACUCGCGGGUUAUCAGCUUGUUGGUGGGGUAGUGGCUUACCAAGGCUUUGACGGGUAGCGGGCCUGAGAGGGUGACCGGCAACAUUGGGACUGAGAUACGGCCCAGACUCCUACGGGAGGCAGCAGUGGGGAAUAUUGCACAAUGGGCGGAAGCCUGAUGCAGCAACGCCGCGUGCGGGAUGACGGCCUUCGGGUUGUAAACCGCUUUCGCCUGUGACGAAGCGUGAGUGACGGUAAUGGGUAAAGAAGCACCGGCUAACUACGUG